AUGAAGGAGGAACCUCUGUUCGACCGCCCAGCCCCCGCGGCAGCAACAGCAGCAGCAGCAGCACCGGGGGAGCCCCCAGACGGACUACGAGUCCCGGCAGGCCGCGCGCGGGCCGUGCAUGCGCAGCGGGGACCGGCGUUUGAGUGGCAAGUUGUUUGUUACAGCGAACACCAGCUGCUCCCCGCGCCGGGCGCCGCUGCUCCGCCGCUCGGCCCCUCGGUUGCUGCUCCGCCGGCGCUGCCUCCCUCGCCCCGCGGCUCCCCCUCGCAACUUGGCUGGCCUCCUCCCUUUUGUCCCGCCCGGCCUGGCCGCCGCCGCCCCCCGCGCCCGGCGCCGAGCUCCCGGGUCCCCGGGCCGGCUGUCGGUGCCGGCAGGGCGCGGAGGGGGCGGGGGCCGCGGCUCGUCCCCCCGCGGAUGAGCCGCCGCGGACGGGGCGCGGGCGGACGAUGGAACUCCACAUCCUGGAGCACCGGCUGCAAGUUGCCAGCGUCGCCAAGGAGAGUAUCCCGCUGUUCACCUACGGCCUGAUCAAACUUGCCUUCCUGUCCUCCAAGACCAGCCCCCUCUCCGAAAUCCGAGGGGCUGGGGCGGCUGCAGUGACGGAUCCGUGA